CGGCCGCAGUACCCUGACUGUGCUAAGGUAGCAUAAUAAAUUGAUUUUUAAUUGAAGUCUAGAAUGAAAGGAAGAACGGAGAUAAUCUGUCUUAUGAAGAAAGUUUUUAAAUUAUUUAAAAGGUGAAAAUACCUUUAAUGAAGAAAAUAGACGAGAAGACCCUAAGAAUUUUAAGAAAUAUAUUUGUUUAUUUAAAUCCUUUUUGCUGGGGCGGUAAAGGAUUAAAAAAUUAACAUCCUUAAAAAUUUAUUUAUCAAGUGUUACUAAAUUUAAAUAAAUUACCUUAGGGAUAACAGCAUAAUUUUUAAAAAAGUUUGUGACCUCGAUGUUGGACUAGGAAUUUUAAGACUAGCUGUCAUAAAAAAAGGUUCUGUUCGAACGUUUCUUCCUAC
rnacentral:rRNA from 1 species